rnacentral:lncRNA from 1 species
GUGACAUCCGGUAAGUGGGCAAGCAGUAUUGCUGAGGGAGUGAGGGGCCGCCAUGUUUUUCUCGUUGGACUGUUUCUGUGCCAGAGUGACUCAGAGACUGUGCCAGAGUCCUCAUCAGGACUGAAGAGCCUCCCACAGACUGCGUCCAGAGAAGAAGGAGAGGUGCCCGGCUGCUGGUGGCAGUCCAGCUGCAGAGUUCGUGGCAUAAGCGCUCUGUGUGCCGCCCGGACAUGCCAGGGAAGUAAAAAGGCCGUAAGCCGGGGUCUGGGUCCUGGCUUCAUCCCUGCAGAGCAAGAGUGACACACUCCACAGGUUUUUGUGAGGUUUGAAUGACACAGCUAAGGGAAACCCCAGUCCCCGUAGGUGUGAGGUCAAAGGCCAGCCUCCUUCCAGCCUUCCAUCCCUUUCUCCUACUCCCCAGAAGGUUUCCUCCUCAAGGUCCU